UUUAGAACUGAUUAGAUCAUUUCUAAUUACAAAUGUUUACCAGCUUGUUUACUUUAGGGGAGAACUGCAGUUGGGUUUCCUGUGGAAUCCACCUUGUAACUUUGCCCAACACCAUCCCACCACUUACUUACCUAUAAAACCACAUGCAGGAUGAAAUCUCUCUCAUUUCCAGCUCUGCUCAGACUGAUCAUCAUCUCCUGGAGCUGAAGCUGCAGCCAUGAUCGUCCAUCCUCGUUCUCUCCUCCUGGGUCUGCUGGUCAUCCUCUACCUUCCGUCCGGUGCAGUGGGAGAACAUGUAAAUGCACCAAAGAAAUGCUGUUUCAGUUUCUAUACCAGACCAAUCCCUGUAGCUGUCAUUAGUCAGUACGAAGAAACAAGACGUGACUGUCCAAGAGCUGGAGUGAUUUUUACCACCAAGAAGGGUCCUGUGUGUGCGGACCCCGGCUUUGGGUGGGUGAAGCGAGCCAAGGACAUAAUUGAUCGUAGAUUUGUUGAAGGUUCAUCCUGAACUCAGUCGAGUGAUUAAAUCUUCUCUCUAUUAAUGGGAAACUAACUCCUUUUAAUAUUCCAGCUCUUUAUUACUACAGCAGUGUACUCGUCUCUGAUUGGGUGAAGGAAUAAAGCUUUUCUGUUUUUUA